rnacentral:misc_RNA from 1 species
AAAAUACUGUCGCGCCUCAAUACCAAACAAGUAAUUUUGAAGUUCGUUGUUAUUGUCAGCCUCGGUGCCAAACAAAGUAAUUUCAAAGUAGCUAUUGCAAGGAACAACAACUGAGCAGAAGAAGCCUUAUUUAUACAUAGCAUACAAUGGAACGCAAACAGACCACAUGAACCAAAUUACUAUUCUAUGAAAAGGAAUGACCAAGCUUUUUGUUUUUACAUUGCCAACCCCACAUUCCUAUUUCUAAGUGAGUCAUUCAAUGGCUUUACACAGGCUGAUCCAGCUGCUGGUACCCUAUUUCGUUUCAAUUUUAGCUUCUUCUUCUUGGACAAUCUCUUCUCCAGCUCUUUAACUCUUCCAGAAAGACUCGAUAUGGCACUCAGCUGUUCGUUCCCUGAUUUGAUUAACUUCUCCAUCAUCUCCCUUAAUUUUUCAUUCUCCUCUAUAAUUUUUCUGUUGCUUUCAGACAGGGCAUCACUAUCACAGGAUACUUGGCUGGCAGUAGGCGAUGCCGGUAACAUGUCCAUUUUCUUCCAUUCCUUAAGCUCAUUUGCAUUCUUACCUGGGACUUCAAUAGGCGUAGAACCAAAAGAAUGGGAAGCAUCAGCAGGAUUAACUUCCCCGGCAACACACAUCGAUGGAUGUAUGUUGUGGUCAUCUGCUAGACCGAGUUCUUUCUCCCUUGACAUCUCUGUCUCGGUAGUUGCAGCUUCUGACGUUGGAGUGGCAAUAGCUUUACUUCCAUCCACCGGUUCCUGGAUCACAGGUGCUGCAUUAUAGGCAGUUACUGGUUCAUUCGCUUGCAUCUCGAAGUUCUCCACAUGCCGCUGCUCGACCACCACAUUAUGCUCUUUUCCUUCAUUGUCAUGAUCAGAGACGACAACAUCAUCGCAAGCUUGCAAUUCCUCAC